rnacentral:pre_miRNA from 1 species
UGGGUCUCUGGUUAGUUUUGCUGGUUUGCUUUCAGCUUUUCUCUGUAGUGCUGUGCAAAUCCAUGCAAAACUGAU